UCAAAAAAAGUUAAUAACAAUAACUCUUGUAAAGAUUCGAAUUUUGCAUAAUUGUUCAAAUUAAUUUUUUUUAUGGUUGUAAACCGAAUAAAGUGAUUUGUUCGAAAAAAUCCUGACCAUCCA